rnacentral:rRNA from 1 species
AUGAACGCUGGCGGCGUGCCUAAUCCCUGCAAGUCGAGCGCACGGACGAGAAGCUUGCUUCUCUGAUGUUAGCGGCGGACGGGUGAGUAACACGUGGAUAACCUACCUAUAAGACUGGGAUAACUUCGGGAAACCGUAGCUAAUACCGGAUAAUAUUUUGAACCGCAUGGUUCAAAAGUGAAAGACGGUCUUGCUGACACUUAUAGAUGGAUCCGCGCUGCAUUAGCUAGUUGGUAAGGUAACGGCUUACCAAGGCAACGAUGCAUAGCCGACCUGAGAGGGUGAUCGGCCACACUGGAACUGAGACACGGUCCAGACUCCUACGGGAGGCAGCAGUAGGGAAUCUUCCGCAAUGGGCGAAAGCCUGACGGAGCAACGCCGCGUGAGUGAUGAAGGUCUUCGGAUCGUAAAACUCUGUUAUUAGGGAAGAACAUAUGUGUAAGUAACUGUGCACAUCUUGACGGUACCUAAUCAGAAAGCCACGGCUAACUACGUG